CCGAGUUGGCGCAAGCCAAUCUCCCUUUCUUGAUGUAUGACCGGUUGCCUUGCCUUCGGGCAGCAUUAUUCUGAUACUAGUUGUCUGAGUAUACUUUAAUAAAUCA
rnacentral:misc_RNA from 1 species